CCAAAAUCUGCAUCAGCCAUCUCCCCUGGUCCAUUUACAAUGCAACCCAUAAUUGCAAUCGAGACACCAGGCAAGUGAGAUGUCUUUUCUCGAAUUUCUGCACUUAUUUCUUGAAGGUCGAACAAAGUUCUCCCACAGGAUGGGCAUGAGACAUACUCCGUCUUUGUAUUUCUCAUUCUGCAACCUUGUAGCAAGUUGAAAGAGGUAUUCCUCAGAAAAUCAAAGUCCUGGUCUGGGGCUUCUAGCAGGAUACCAUCUCCAAGACCAUCUACUAAAAGAGCCCCGGCAUUUGCACCAGCGCCAAUGACCAAGUCAUCCCUGUGAAUCGCAUUUGGAAAAUGAAUAUGGUGAAUUACAGGGAAAUUCAGAGCAUUGUCUGAUAGAAACUCAAAUAACCUCCUUGCUGCAUGCACUCUACCAAUUUUGUCUUCUGUAAAUGGUAGAUCAUGAAGAAUCAUUGUAGCAUCUAUGUCUUUCAGGAUUUCCAGUUCUUCAUAGGGCUCAUCACCACGUACAGACACAACCAAGCGAGUACCUUCUGGCAAAAGCUUGUGAGCACCAGUUGAUAACUCCUUAAAAUUUACAAGAACCAUGGCAUUGGGUAAUGGCUUUGUCAGCUGCUCUGACAAAGGAGUAAUAACUCCCAUGCUAAUAUCUAUCAGUCUUUUUAGUGCUAGCCGAGCAUCAUUAUCCUCCACAGGCGGAAGCUCUCUCAAUAGGAUUGAGUCAACUGUUGCCAAGUCCUUAAAAGGCAUUCCAACAACAAGCUUUGCUGCUAGUGACUUGUAUAGGAGUUCAGGUGCCUUUAAUUGAUCUAAGGAAACUGACAUGAGAACAGAACCAUCACGGUGCAGGACACCUCUAUAAUCCACCUCUUCACCCUCCUUUUGUACUGGCAAUUGGCCGGAUCGGCGCUGGAAAUCAAAAUAAUGCCUAUGCUUUUCUUCAAAUGGUGCCACUCCUUGUUGAACUGUAGAAGCUCUCAUACCAAGGUUGGCCAACCUUCUGCAAGGAUCAAUCUCCUUCUCUGGUGGUUCUGUCAGUGAUACCCUGAUUGUAUCACCCAAACCAUCCUG
rnacentral:misc_RNA from 1 species